AGAAACUUAGGAUAAAUAAUUAAACCAGGGGCCUUCAAAGCCCCAAACAAGAGAUAUAAUCCUCUUAGUUUCUG
rnacentral:tRNA from 1 species